UGCAAUUAUGAAGUUAAUACUAAACUUAAAAAUUCUCUAAAACUUUUAUUGAUGUCACUUUAAAAGCUAGAAAACAGGAAUUUGUUUUCAACUGUUUUAAGAAAUGCCUAACAAAGAACAUGAUGACUUUUCUGAUAGAAAAUUUCGAGAAACCCUCAACAUCACUAUUAUUAAUAAUUUCAUGGACCUGGACAAAGGUCUUAAUCCUGAAUUUAAUGCUAUGUUAUCUUCAUUCUUUCACCACAUGCAAAAUUCUUUUAAAGAAAUACCCCACAUAUUUGUAAGUUGCGGCUUUGCUAGUGAAAAUGAAGAUAAUCCGUCAUCUUCAGAAGUCA